CCUGUCAAAAUGAAGAUCGUGGACCGUUUUCUUUUGCGGUGUUUCGCCGUAUGAAAGCCGUUUAAUGGCUAUAAUACAUCCCAUCGGGAGACAUCUCCUUUUUAAUCCCGGAUUUUUAUCCUAUAUGGAAGUCCUGUGAGACGAUGGUGUGUUGGUGGAGGCCUCAUCGAGUCGACAUGCUGGUCAAUCCCGGCCACGUAUGCCGCUUCUCCUCGAUGGGUAAGUUAAUCACUUGUUUUUGAAUUCGUAAUCCUUACGCCCAUGCGGGGGUCCGCUCUUUAAAUCAUGAACCGAUUUUUCUCCUUUAUUUAGGUUCCAGCUUGUCAAAAGUCUGUGAACCCUGUCUUACUACCUGUAACUCGUUACAGGGCCUACCACUUAGUCUACAGUUUGGCUGUAAGGCAGCCCCCAGCCAGCUUGGUGUACCGGCGGUCGGGGCCUGUUCGCUAUUACUACAACUACCAUGGAUGCAGAGGCACUGCGACAUGAGUCUCCAUUAGUGUGUCGGCAGUGGUACCUUCCUUCUAAUGUCACUACUUAAAAGGUCAGAGACAACCAAUUUAUUAUAUUCUCCAAGGCGCCCAACUUACUUUAAAUAAUUUUCCUUAUUUUUUAUACCACGUACCCAGAGUGCCCAACCAUAAGAAAUGUAGCCGCCAAACCCACAUUUGCUCUCAUUUUUUAGUUAAGUCUGUAGUAAGCUAGCCGAGGCUAUUUAAUAUAUUAUAAUGUCAUAAGUUAACAUUUGACACUUCUAAACUUAGAUAUUUGUCGUUUAGUCAAAUAAAUGUAUUAUAAGUAA